GCCAGUGUGGUCUAGUGGUUUGAAUGUUGGGCUGUGACUCUAUAAAGACCAAGGUUCGAAUCCCCGCUUGGCCA